rnacentral:rRNA from 1 species
GACAGAGGGUGCGAACGUUGUUCGGAAUUACUGGGCGUAAAGCGCAUGUAGGCGGCAGCGCAAGUCGGGCGUGAAAUCCCACGGCUCAACCGUGGAAGUGCACUCGAAACUGUGCAGCUAGAGUCCUGGAGAGGAAGGUGGAAUGCUUGGUGUAGAGGUGAAAUUCGUAGAUAUCAAGCGGAACACCGGUGGCGAAGGCGGCCUUCUGGACAGUGACUGACGCUGAGAUGCGAAAGCGUGGGGAGCAAACAGG